CCCUUAGAUGUUCUGGGCCGCACGCGCGCUACACUGAUGCAUUCAACGAGUCUAAAACCUGGUCUGAUAGGGCUGGGUAAUCUUUUGAAUGUGCAUCGUGAUUGGGAUAGAUGAUUGCAGUUCUUCAUCUUCAACGAGGAAUGCCUAGUAAACGCAAGUCAUCAGCUUGCAUUGAUUACGUCCCUGCCCUUUGUACGCACCGCCCGUCGCUCCUACCGAUUGAAUGUUCCGAUGAAUACCAUGGACUGAGAGUAUGAAUGGGUUCGCCCAUUUCUGCUUCUCGGGAAGUGGAGUAAAUCUUAACAUUUAGAGGAAGGAGAAGUCGUAACA
rnacentral:rRNA from 1 species